CUGGAAAGGCGCGCGAUACAGGGUGACAGCCCCGUACACAAAAAUGCACAUGCUGUGAGCUCGAUGAGUAGGGCGGGACACGUGGUAUCCUGUCUGAAUAUGGGGGGACCAUCCUCCAAGGCUAAAUACUCCUGACUGACCGAUAGUGAACCAGUACCGUGAGGGAAAGGCGAAAAGAACCCCGGCGAGGGGAGUGAAAAAGAACCUGAAACCGUGUACGUACAAGCAGUGGGAGCCUCUUAAUGGGGUGACUGCGUACCUUUUGUAUAAUGGGUCAGCGACUUAUAUUCUGUAGCAAGGUUAACCGAAUAGGGGAGCCGAAGGGAAACCGAGUCUUAACUGGGCGUUAAGUUGCAGGGUAUAGACCCGAAACCCGGUGAUCUAGCCAUGGGCAGGUUGAAGGUUGGGUAACACUAACUGGAGGACCGAACCGACUAAUGUUGAAAAAUUAGCGGAUGACUUGUGGCUGGGGGUGAAAGGCCAAUCAAACCGGGAGAUAGCUGGUUCUCCCCGAAAGCUAUUUAGGUAGCGCCUCGUGAAUUCAUCUCCGGGGGUAGAGCACUGUUUCGGCAAGGGGGUCAUCCCGACUUACCAACCCGAUGCAAACUGCGAAUACCGGAGAAUGUUAUCACGGGAGACACACGGCGGGUGCUAACGUCCGUCGUGAAGAGGGAAACAACCCAGACCGCCAGCUAAGGUCCCAAAGUCAUGGUUAAGUGGGAAACGAUGUGGGAAGGCCCAGACAGCCAGGAUGUUGGCUUAGAAGCAGCCAUCAUUUAAAGAAAGCGUAAUAGCUCACUGGUCGAGUCGGCCUGCGCGGAAGAUGUAACGGGGCUAAACCAUGCACCGAAGCUGCGGCAGCGACACUAUGUGUUGUUGGGUAGGGGAGC
rnacentral:rRNA from 1 species